rnacentral:rRNA from 1 species
UUAAGCGACUAAGCGUACACGGUGGAUGCCCUGGCAGUCAGAGGCGAUGAAGGACGUGCUAAUCUGCGAUAAGCGUCGGUGAGGUGAUAUGAACCGUUAUAACCGGCGAUUUCCGAAUGGGGAAACCCAGUGUGUUUCGACACACUAUCAUUAACUGAAUCCAUAGGUUAAUGAGGCGAACCGGGGGAACUGAAACAUCUAAGUACCCCGAGGAAAAGAAAUCAACCGAGAUUCCCCCAGUAGCGGCGAGCGAACGGGGAGGAGCCCAGAGCCUGAAUCAGUGUGUGUGUUAGUGGAAGCGUCUGGAAAGGCGCGCGAUACAGGGUGACAGCCCCGUACACAAAAAUGCACAUACUGUGAGCUCGAUGAGUAGGGCGGGACACGUGGUAUCCUGUCUGAAUAUGGGGGGACCAUCCUCCAAGGCUAAAUACUCCUGACUGACCGAUAGUGAACCAGUACCGUGAGGGAAAGGCGAAAAGAACCCCGGCGAGGGGAGUGAAAAAGAACCUGAAACCGUGUACGUACAAGCAGUGGGAGCCUCUUAAUGGGGUGACUGCGUACCUUUUGUAUAAUGGGUCAGCGACUUAUAUUCUGUAGCAAGGUUAACCGAAUAGGGGAGCCGAAGGGAAACCGAGUCUUAACUGGGCGUUAAGUUGCAGGGUAUAGACCCGAAACCCGGUGAUCUAGCCAUGGGCAGGUUGAAGGUUGGGUAACACUAACUGGAGGACCGAACCGACUAAUGUUGAAAAAUUAGCGGAUGACUUGUGGCUGGGGGUGAAAGGCCAAUCAAACCGGGAGAUAGCUGGUUCUCCCCGAAAGCUAUUUAGGUAGCGCCUCGUGAAUUCAUCUCCGGGGGUAGAGCACUGUUUCGGCAAGGGGGUCAUCCCGACUUACCAACCCGAUGCAAACUGCGAAUACCGGAGAAUGUUAUCACGGGAGACACACGGCGGGUGCUAACGUCCGUCGUGAAGAGGGAAACAACCCAGACCGCCAGCUAAGGUCCCAAAGUCAUGGUUAAGUGGGAAACGAUGUGGGAAGGCCCAGACAGCCAGGAUGUUGGCUUAGAAGCAGCCAUCAUUUAAAGAAAGCGUAAUAGCUCACUGGUCGAGUCGGCCUGCGCGGAAGAUGUAACGGGGCUAAACCAUGCACCGAAGCUGCGGCAGCGACGCUUAUGCGUUGUUGGGUAGGGGAGCGUUCUGUAAGCCUGUGAAGGUGGCCUGUGAGGGUUGCUGGAGGUAUCAGAAGUGCGAAUGCUGACAUAAGUAACGAUAAAGCGGGUGAAAAGCCCGCUCGCCGGAAGACCAAGGGUUCCUGUCCAACGUUAAUCGGGGCAGGGUGAGUCGACCCCUAAGGCGAGGCCGAAAGGCGUAGUCGAUGGGAAACAGGUUAAUAUUCCUGUACUUGGUGUUACUGCGAAGGGGGGACGGAGAAGGCUAUGUUGGCCGGGCGACGGUUGUCCCGGUUUAAGCGUGUAGGCUGGUUUUCCAGGCAAAUCCGGAAAACCAAGGCUGAGGCGUGAUGACGAGGCACUACGGUGCUGAAGCAACAAAUGCCCUGCUUCCAGGAAAAGCCUCUAAGCAUCAGGUAACAUCAAAUCGUACCCCAAACCGACACAGGUGGUCAGGUAGAGAAUACCAAGGCGCUUGAGAGAACUCGGGUGAAGGAACUAGGCAAAAUGGUGCCGUAACUUCGGGAGAAGGCACGCUGAUAUGUAGGUGAAGCGACUUGCUCGUGGAGCUGAAAUCAGUCGAAGAUACCAGCUGGCUGCAACUGUUUAUUAAAAACACAGCACUGUGCAAACACGAAAGUGGACGUAUACGGUGUGACGCCUGCCCGGUGCCGGAAGGUUAAUUGAUGGGGUUAGCGGUAACGCGAAGCUCUUGAUCGAAGCCCCGGUAAACGGCGGCCGUAACUAUAACGGUCCUAAGGUAGCGAAAUUCCUUGUCGGGUAAGUUCCGACCUGCACGAAUGGCGUAAUGAUGGCCAGGCUGUCUCCACCCGAGACUCAGUGAAAUUGAACUCGCUGUGAAGAUGCAGUGUACCCGCGGCAAGACGGAAAGACCCCGUGAACCUUUACUAUAGCUUGACACUGAACAUUGAGCCUUGAUGUGUAGGAUAGGUGGGAGGCUUUGAAGUGUGGACGCCAGUCUGCAUGGAGCCGACCUUGAAAUACCACCCUUUAAUGUUUGAUGUUCUAACGUUGGCCCCUAAUCGGGGUUGCGGACAGUGUCUGGUGGGUAGUUUGACUGGGGCGGUCUCCUCCUAAAGAGUAACGGAGGAGCACGAAGGUUGGCUAAUCCUGGUCGGACAUCAGGAGGUUAGUGCAAUGGCAUAAGCCAGCUUGACUGCGAGCGUGACGGCGCGAGCAGGUGCGAAAGCAGGUCAUAGUGAUCCGGUGGUUCUGAAUGGAAGGGCCAUCGCUCAACGGAUAAAAGGUACUCCGGGGAUAACAGGCUGAUACCGCCCAAGAGUUCAUAUCGACGGCGGUGUUUGGCACCUCGAUGUCGGCUCAUCACAUCCUGGGGCUGAAGUAGGUCCCAAGGGUAUGGCUGUUCGCCAUUUAAAGUGGUACGCGAGCUGGGUUUAGAACGUCGUGAGACAGUUCGGUCCCUAUCUGCCGUGGGCGCUGGAGAACUGAGGGGGGCUGCUCCUAGUACGAGAGGACCGGAGUGGACGCAUCACUGGUGUUCGGGUUGUCAUGCCAAUGGCACUGCCCGGUAGCUAAAUGCGGAAGAGAUAAGUGCUGAAAGCAUCUAAGCACGAAACUUGCCCCGAGAUGAGUUCUCCCUGACUCCUUGAGAGUCCUGAAGGAACGUUGAAGACGACGACGUUGAUAGGCCGGGUGUGUAAGCGCAGCGAUGCGUUGAGCUAACCGGUACUAAUGAACCGUGAGGCUUAACCUU